AAUUAACCCAAAAAAAGGCCCAUGAAAGCUUCUUUUGUUCAACCUACUCACAAUUCCCCCCCAAAAAACAAAAGGAUAAAUAAAUAAAGAAACCCAACCCAAAGCCCAUUAUAAACUUAAGCCUGAUAAACCCAAAUUUCAGAAAAAGCCCCAAAGCCCAAUAAACCUAGAUGAGCCCAACAGGCCAAAAAUUCACCCCACGGCCCACUUUAAUGCCAACCUAUUUUCUCCCGAGCGUCUGCCCCAUUUUUCCCUAACUUUGGACUCUUCACAGAGCCAUUCCCAAUCAUUAAGCUCUCUUCUUCCUCUUUUUUUUCUGUUUCAACGUCGAGGCUCGAAGGAAAACACUAAAAGAGAACUUCAUUCGUAGACAAGGAUCUCAAGACAUUAAACGAACGUUCACAGUUAUUUUCUACCGCCUUAAGCACGGCAACAACCAAGAAACACGUAUCCAAAGAAAGUUUGGAUUUGGCCACGGCAACAACGAAAUCUGAAUAAAAUCAUCCUCCAUGAUCCAUAAAGGAUUUCUUUCAUCAGAACAGGAGCAUACUCAUUCUGAAUGAUCUGAAAAUCACGGUUAAACCACAUUGACUUAGUUCAAGCGUUUCAUCAAACAUGUGGUGAGCACUGACUUGGGGGGAGAGGACAUCAACCCAUUUUCAGGACCCGCUCUGAUCCAGACCUAGGGAAAUCACCAAGAAAUGCUCAACAUCAAACAAAUCGACUCGGUUGGACGCAGAAAACUCAAGGAUCGGAGAAAACUCGCCCGGCUAUUCUAUCACUAAAACAGGGCAGUGCUAAAAGGGCUCGUGGGGAUGAGUUUCGGUCACAAAAACCCCUACUCGGCUCGAAGACGGCGGCGCGAGGGCCAAUUCGAGAAGAAUCGAACUUCGGUCGGCCGCCUCGCAAUGUCUCCGAGCCGAGAUCUUCGGGAACGACUGGGUUGAACAAAGGAAACUCACCAGAAAUGCAGAGGUUUGGUAAACGAGAAGUCGAGUGCUCGAGGGCGUCGGCAAUUGGCGUCGAGGAUGGGCCAGUGACGCUCGACCUAGGCAGCUUCUGGCUCUCUCGCUCUCCGUCUCGCUCUCACUCUCUGUCCCUCUCUCUCUCUUUCUCUGUCGCUCUGUGUCAGCCGAAGGACCAGCCCCCUCUCUCGGUUGCUCUCCCUUUGGCCGAACAAGCAAAAAACAAGCCCCUCCUUUUAUGCUCCGGCGCGCAUGGGAUGUGGCGUGCCAGCUGCCUCUGGCCAGCCUGCCCCCGGCCGAGCGUCUCGCGCGAUCGCUCGCCCUGUUCUCCCCGUCCUUCGUCGCGCGCGUCGUCCUUUCUGUCCUUUUGGUCGUUCCUCAGCUAGCGUCCAAGGGAGGGGAAAGGAGGAGGGGAGAGGCUGGGCCGGGAAAGAAAU
rnacentral:lncRNA from 1 species